rnacentral:rRNA from 1 species
AGCUCCAGUAGCGUACACUAAAAUUGUUGCAGUUAAAAAGCUCGUAGUUGGAUUUCUGUGGGAACACGACGGCCCGCUCUGGCCUUCAACGGUCUCGGAGUGGGAUCUGUCAGUUUGUUCCCUCAUCCUGUCACAAACUGCUCUGGUCUUAACUGUACCGGGGUUUUCAGCGCGUGACUCAAUUACUUUGAGAAAAAUAGAGUGCUCAAAGCAGGCGCUUUCUGCCCUGAAUAUGUUAGCAUGGAAUAAUACGAUAGGACUUUAGUUCUAUUUUGUUGGUUGUUUGAGAACUGAAGUAAUGAUUGAUAGGGAUGGUUGGGGGUCUCGGUAUUGUUGGACGAGAGGUGAAAUUUUUGGACUCCAGCAAGACCAACUGCUGCGCAAGCGUUGACCAAGCACA